rnacentral:snRNA from 10 species
UACAGAUUGUAGCUCAUUUAGAAGUUGUCUAGCAGGCUUACUGGCUCACCGCCUCC